UACGGAGGAUCCGAGCGUUAUCCGGAUUUAUUGGGUUUAAAGGGUGCGUAGGCGGCCUGUUAAGUCAGGGGUGAAAGACGGUAGCUCAACUAUCGCAGUGCCCUUGAUACUGAUGGGCUUGAAUGUACUAGAGGUAGGCGGAAUGUGACAAGUAGCGGUGAAAUGCAUAGAUAUGUCACAGAACACCAAUUGCGAAGGCAGCUCACUACACAAAGAUUGACACUGAGGCACGAAAGCGUGGGGAUCAAACAGG
rnacentral:rRNA from 1 species